CUCUCUCUCUGUCUAGUAUAUAUAUAGAAAGAUAACCUACUACCAUAACCACAACACCCAAACCUACGAAACUCCACAGCCACAACCACAAUAGCCAAUCUACCACCACCAUCAAUCACCCACCCCACCACCACGGCAACCCUACAGCACCGCAAUGAAUCUGACCCACAACGAAAAUCCAUGGCAACAACAGCAAACCCACAAUGAAGACACACCCGCCGCCGAUCUACUGCUCAACCCACCACGGCAACCCUCCAACCCAAAUUGAACCCACAAAAUCAAAUCCACCAUGGCAAACCUCCACAACAGCAAACCCACCGCGCCGAUCUACUGCACCACGACCCAGACCCACUACGACCCAGAUUCACAAACCACCACCCCGUCGCCACCAGAUCCGAGGGCUUUCAUCGCACAUGACAAGCGCAUGAGAGGGAACAAAUGUCGUUGCUUAAUUCAGCUGCUCAAAUAGUUCUUGGCCUCGUCGUUCUCAUCAUCACACUCCUUCUCGAACUUCCCAGGUUUUUAACUAACAACAUUGCUAUGUUAAUACCUACUAUGUGAGUUUUACUUAUACAUAACUUGGAGCUUCCAAUAUAAAUAAGUUGAAACAGAGUGCACUGCUUCAUGCUCUGUUUUUUAUUGGUUUGUUUGAAUUGCGUAGUUCGAAUUGUCCAUGUUAUGAGGUUUGCAUUUUUUUUUUUUCAUUUUGCAGAAUCUAUAUUGUGUGGAUCUAUUGUGGUUUGUAAUGUUGUAUGAAUAAAGUGAUUUUAGUCCAAUACUUGUUGAGGGCUUAGGAAAAUUUGAACUGUUUGUUUUUGUGAUUGUUUUCGUGCAAGUCAUGCCCUGUUUUUGUUUUUUCUCCAAACUUGCUGAGGUUUAUGAAUAAUAGUGUGGAUCCAGGCCUUUCUCUUUCUGCUGGCCAGUUUUUGAAGUUUGAAUUUUCCUAUGCUUGUGAAAUUUUGAACCGUUUGUCUUUCUGAUUGUUUUAGUACAAGUCAUGCUCUAUUUGGGAAUUGCGGUAGUCUGCGUUUGCCUUUUUUUUUUUUUUUUUUUUUUUGCUGGUCCCAUUACACUGUUCAUGACCGGUCAACACCAAAAACGCGUGAACAGUGUGUUUUGGAUUUUAAAAAAUAUUUUGCUACAAUGUUUUAGUAAUAAAUUUUCAGUUUUGCUAAAAUAAGUGGUAUUUAAACAGACGUUUAUACUGGUUAAACUUUAUGAAUAAUAGUGUGGAUCUGGAUUUAUCAAAAAAAAAAAAAAAAAAAUAGUGUGGAUCUUGGCCUUUCUCUGUCUGCUGGUUGGUUUGGGAAAAUGUUUUGGGCCUCCACAACCAAAUCUUCCAUUUUGGGCUCAUAAACAAAAAGAUUUAUAAAAUUAGAAACAAGUGAUAUAUAUAUAAUCUCUAAUAAUUCAAUUUUGUUGGGUAAACUAUCACUGUUUUACCUAACAGAAUUGAAUUAUUGGAGAUUAUAUAGGAUUUCUCAUCAAAAUUUACUGUGACUCUUAAGGCCUAAUUGAGAGAGGGGAAUGAGAUGGAAAAAAUGCAAAUAAUAAUUCUUAAUUGAACUUUCCUCUACUCCAAGAACCAAAACUCAGCUUCCUCUACUCCUCCAAAUGGGUGAGAAUGAAUGUAUAUACCUGAAUAUAUUUUCUUAACAAUUUUUACUUUUGUUGGUUCACCUAGGGAAGCUGGGUUAAUAUAUGAUUUUGACAUUAAUGCAUUGAUGUGGUAAUUUUGAAUAUUAACCUAUCUUGAACGCAAAUCCAGCAUGUUUGCAUCAUAAUAUAUUUUACUGAUUUAAUUUUUGCAUCAUAAUUAGCUUUGUUGUUUUGAGAGAAUCAAAUUUAGCAUAGGUAGAACUUCUAUCUAUCUUAAAAAAAAUUGGGUUAUAUAUAUAUAUAUCCUUUUAUUUUUAUUUUUUGUUUUGUUUUGAGAAUUAAAUUAGCCUAGUAAUGUUAGGUGUGUCUGUAUAUAUGUAUAUAUCUUUAUAAAAAUUAGCGUGUAUUAUAUCUUUUUCUUUUCUUUUCUUUUCUUUUUAGAGAAUUAAAUUUAGCAUGGACAGGUUGGUGUUAUAUAUAUAUAUAUAUAUAUAUAUGUAUAUGUAUAUGUAACUAGUGAGUAAGCAAUUUUAUUUCAAACGGGACCAGUGUUGUUAAAAGCGUGCUUAGGGUCUGUUUGUGAUCCGUUUAUUUUGUUGAAACUGAAAACUUUUUGCUUAGGGUGUCCCUUUUUGAUAUCAAUACAUCUUAAUGUCUUGUUGAGAACGAGCUGGAGCACCACUACCUACAAAGGGGGUGUAAAAGGGUGCACCCAAAGGGGUACUAGUGAAGAAAAAUUGUGUGUUGAGGUAGAGAUUGGUGAGUCCAGCCCAUGACAGGAGUGGUUUUGGAAGCCCACAUUGGCUAGAGGAACAAAAAGAUGGUGCACUAAUUAUAUUAUAAGAGUUAGUCCCAUGUUAAAAAGAGAAGUAGUAAGGAGGUGUGAUAUCCCUUAUAAAAGGAGUGAUAGAGUAGCUUUAUUACAUGUGUGAAUUAAGAGCAAAGCUUUGUCUUGUGAGAGAGUAGAGGCUAGCUUUGCCUAGUGUGGGAGCACCUUUCAUUGAAUUGAGUUAGUUUAUAGUUGAGAGUUUUGAGUGUUGUCAUUGCUAUUAUUGAUAAUGAUUUUUUGUUGGUGUUGAUCGUGGAGUUAGGUUUGGAGUUAGCCUAAUCAUGUUAAUUUUUGUGUCUUGUGGUGCUUGUUAUUUUUUUAUUUUGAUUGUAUUUUCACAACAGGCUUAUAGUUAAGCUAACUGUAUUUUUUCUGCUUUAGAGCAUUCCCAUUAAGGAUGCUAAAAGUGGUAUAUGCUAAAUUUUAGCAUCAAAACACAAAAAGCCACUCCAUCAAAGAUUUCAAAUGGCAAAAUUUUUGGCAUACUGUUACAGUGAGCUUGUAUCAAUACAAAUUCAAGCUCACUGUAGCUAGAUUGUAAAAAAAAAAAAUUCAUUUUAUAUUCCCAAAUGGCUCUUUUUUUAAUUUCUGUCUCUCUUUCCUCUCUCUCACUUUUCUCUUCUCUCUUCCGUGGUUCAUCAUCUCUGCCCGUUGCCGAUCUUUGCUUGUCGUCGUCAAUCUCUGCCUCUUCAUUGCCAAUCUGUCCUCGUCGUCGUUGUCGAUCUUUGCCUCUUCGUUACCGAUCUGUCUCCGAUUUGCCUUCUAAUCUCCGUGGUGGAUCGUGGUCUUUGAAUCUCUGUGGAGGUGGAUCGUGGACCGUUCUCUCUCCUUUUUUUGGGUUGGUUCAGGCUUUAGGUAAUCGUGGGUCACAGUGUUUUUGUGGGUCCCUUUGAUUUUGUGGGUAAUGGUGUUUUAGAGUAGGUGAUGUGGGUUGAUUUGGUGGCUAUGGGUUAUGGUUGGGUUUUUGGUGGUGGUCGUUGUUGUUGGUGAGGGUGGCUGCAUUAGAUCAGAUCGGGGUUGGGGUGGGUCAUUUGGGUGACUGGGGUGGGUUGUUGUUGGGGUUUUGUGGGUGGUGGUUGGUUGUGGGUUUGUGGAGAUGGUGAAUGGUGGGCUGACUGCGAGGGUGAUCAGACGAAGAGAGAGUAACAGAAAGGGGAUAGAGAAAUCAAUAAAAAAAAAAAAAGAAAAAAAAAAAGAAAA